UUAUAUCACGUAAGGAAUUAUUCAUAGUAUAACAAAACACUUCUUAACUUGCUAUUAAGUGCCAAAUUCUAAUCAACUCAGUAUAUACUUAUUACUCUGUAUGCCCAACAAGAAUAGAGAGUAUUUAAAAGUCUAGUCCUUGAAUCUCUGGCCGAGGGAGUUUCACACAAGUCCAAAAGCUGUUCAUAAAGUCCUGAGACCUAACCAUUUCCCAGAAUUGGCCAAUAAUAAUGGGUCGCUCUUGUUUUCUCAGGGUUCUUCUUGUUUUGGCUCUUCUGGCCCUUUCCUUCUCUCAUGGUAUAUUGCCAAGUUACUUGGCAUUUUGCUUUUGCUUUGAAUUUCUUUUCCUUUCUUUUCUUUUUCUUAUCUUUUAGUGUUGCUUGAUUCCUUUUCUGGCGCUCAUAGUUGCUCUUGUGAAUUAAGGAAUCAGUACAAAGGUGAUGGAGACAGUCGAGAUUACAAGAGAUUCUUCGGUUCAAGCGGAGGUUGGUUAAAUUAAUUGAUUUCUCUUUCAUUUUUUGCAUUUGUUUCUUUCCAUUUUUAUCAUGAUAAUAAAGAUAUAGAGCAUAAACGCUAUAUGUUUGAUUUCCAGGAAAGUGGAGGAAAAUCAAGGGAACUGAUGGAAGAAAUGAUGGACUAUCAAUUGGAGCCAGGGCCAAACACUAACCCCACAACUGGGUCUAUGCUUGCCCCCCCUCCACAGAGGUGAUGAAGAUUGUGAUUUUGGGAAACAAAUUUGUUUUAAACAAUGUUGUAUUCCUUUGCCAAAGUGUAAUAUGUGAAUAAGAUUCCAAACUUUGGUGCUGGCCUGGCCCCUUCUCUUUUAUAUAAUUGCUUCCAUGUAGAAAAGCUCUUACGCAGCUGGGGUUUUAGCCCAAUAUUAUUAUCAACCCAAGCCUGAAUCAGAAGGCUGGCGCAACGUAAACCCAAUUCUAGAUCAAGAGCUGAACUUUAACUAUACAACUGAAACAGUUGAUUUUGAUUUCACCAUUAUGAAUUUUUUCUUUGCC
rnacentral:lncRNA from 1 species